rnacentral:lncRNA from 1 species
GAUUUGUGAAACUCAGUCUAUCGUUACUUGCACUUCAUGUUGAGUGCAACGACUGGUGUCUAAAAUUGAGAAUCGUAGCCUUCAACCCCGAUGUCCUCGUGUUACGUGUGUGUCAUCUUUAUUCAUGAAUAUGUUAAUCAUUAAAGACUGAACCGGGGACAAAGAUCGCCUUUACUAGAACUACUCUGGUAAACGGUGAAACCUGCUUGGAUAAUCAGCCUGCUUGCGUCAGCACGUGCAUCUGCACGCAGAAGAUCGAUGAAGUUGGGCAAACGUAUCGUGACUUGCUCGCUUCUACAGGUUUAGUCAGGCGCAGACUUCACCGCUGCCAUCAACUUGUGAAGGACCAGGCCGUUGAUCGGAAACCUACAAUAUAUCAGCCGGCGGCUAGGGGUGAAUGGAUUAACUCACAUGGAAGGACCUCGGUUCGGUAGACGACUGUCAGCAGUGAUAGGAGUUAUUUCUAACCUAUCUGGGCGGUCAGCACUACCUAGCAAUAGAGACAAGCACUUCUGCUAGGGUUCGGACAAAUUGAGCGCGGGUUGUGAUGUGAGCCAGAGAACCUCUAACAGGGCUCACAAGGCGCUGUCCUCGACUUCAAAGGAACGAGCAGGAGCGGAUGUGCCUACACUAAGAAAGGCGAAAAGAAAGGUCUAUUGCAGUAUAGUGUAACGCUACAAGGCGCCUGAUGUAGGGGCAGCCUGGUGGGGCCUGCGAUUGCCCUAAAGUGUUGGGGUCUUACCCCCUGGUACGGUUAGUAAGUGGGGCGGGGCUGUUUCGUGCUGACGGUUGCAUCAGUGUGAUCCGACCAGGCCAUGCGUGCCUUCUUCUGCCAUAAAUAGAGAGAUUUCACUGGCUCGAUCAACUAGCUACCCUAUCCUGUGACCUACCAAAUGAA